GAUGUACGCUAGCUACAGGCUUAACACAUGCAAGUCGAGGGGAAACGACAUCGAAAGCUUGCUUUUGAUGGGCGUCGACCGGCGCACGGGUGAGUAACGCGUAUCCAACCUGCCCAUCACUUGGGAAUAACCUUGCGAAAGUAAGACUAAUACCCAAUGAUAUCCCACGAAGGCAUCGGAAUGGGAUUAAAGAUUUAUCGGUGAUGGAUGGGGAUGCGUCUGAUUAGCUUGUUGGCGGGGUAACGGCCCACCAAGGCAACGAUCAGUAGGGGUUCUGAGAGGAAGGUCCCCCACAUUGGAACUGAGACACGGUCCAAACUCCUACGGGAGGCAGCAGUGAGGAAUAUUGGUCAAUGGGCGAGAGCCUGAACCAGCCAAGUAGCGUGCAGGAAGACGGCCCUAUGGGUUGUAAACUGCUUUUAUAAGGGAAUAAAGUGGGUCACGUGUGACUUUUUGCAUGUACCUUAUGAAUAAGGACCGGCUAAUUCCGUG
rnacentral:rRNA from 1 species